rnacentral:rRNA from 1 species
AUUGAACGCUGGCGGCAUGCCUUACACAUGCAAGUCGAACGGCAGCGGGCCCUUCGGGGUGCCGGCGAGUGGCGAACGGGUGAGUAAUGCAUCGGAACGUACCCGGGAGAGGGGGAUAACCGGCCGAAAGGCUGGCUAAUACCGCAUGAACUCGGAAGAGCAAAGCGGGGGACCUUCGGGCCUCGCGCUCUCGGAGCGGCCGAUGUCCGAUUAGGCUAGUUGGUGGGGUAAAGGCCCACCAAGGCGACGAUCGGUAGCGGGUCUGAGAGGACGAUCCGCCACACUGGGACUGAGACACGGCCCAGACUCCUACGGGAGGCAGCAGUGGGGAAUCUUGGACAAUGGACGCAAGCCUGAUCCAGCAAUGCCGCGUGGGUGAAGAAGGCCUUCGGGUUGUAAAGCCCUUUCGGCGGGGAAGAAAUCGGUCAGGCGAAUAGUCUGGCCGGAUGACGGUACCCACAGAAGAAGCACCGGCUAACUACGUG